rnacentral:misc_RNA from 1 species
GUUUCGACAAGUGUCUACAUUCAUAAACAAAUGCCUGCUUUUUCACAAGGAUUCAUAAAAUUCACAGUUGUAUCUAACCAACCUACAAAGUUCAAGAUGUACAUAAUAGGCUGCUUUCCAUUCCUCUAAUAAACUGGUAAAGCAGUAUGCAGCAGUUUGUAGGCAUUGAAUUUAAAAGAUGAAGACAAAAAUUGCUAUAGCAAAAUAUAGAUCGGGUCAAAGUAGACAAAAAGGAUUAGAGUUUGCACAUUAUGAACACAUCAAAAGCA